GCUGGGCAUAGUGGCCUGUGCCUGUAAUCCCAGCUACUCAGGAGGCUGAGGCAGGAGACUUGCUUGAACCCAGGAAGCAGAGGUUGCAGUGAGCCGAGAUUGUGCCACUGCACUCUGGCAUGGGUGGCAGAGCAAGACUCUGUCUCAA
ensembl:misc_RNA Metazoa_SRP Metazoan signal recognition particle RNA